rnacentral:lncRNA from 1 species
UGUUAUGAACAAUUACUUAUAAGUUUACUCAUUUUUAUUGCAUGUGAAAUUGGCCCGAGUUCACCACGAACUCCUAUCCUCUCCCUUGCAUUUUCGAGAAAGCCAUAAAGGCUCAAAUUCCUCUUAUCGAGUCAGCCGACAAGAAAUUUGAAGAACUGGCCAUUAAAAAUUGACGAACAGGUCUCGAGGUUGAAAGGAGCAACCGAUUGAGAAAUUUGAAAAGAUUGGGCCAAAGGCCCACUCUUAAUUCAUAAUAGUUGUAUUUUGUUAUUUUGGGCCUAAGCCCUUGUCAUUUCAAUUGUUAUUGUUGUAUCAGUUUAGGACAGGAGGAAGAAUUGGGACUAAGGCCCAAAAGAUAGAAAAUACUUCUAUUAUGCUAGAAUAGGACAGGUACAAAUGACUUAAAUGGGCCGAAGGCCCAAAACGAAAAUGGGCCCAAAUACUGAUCCAGGCGGAC